rnacentral:rRNA from 1 species
GACGAACGCUGGCGGCGUGCCUAAUACAUGCAAGUCGAGCGAAUUUACGAGAGCUUGCUCUCGUAAAUUAGCGGCGGACGGGUGAGUAACACGUGGGCAACCUGCCUAUAAGACUGGGAUAACUUCGGGAAACCGGAGCUAAUACCGGAUAAUUUACAUCUACUCAUGUAGAUGUGCUGAAAGACGGUUUCGGGUGUCACUUAUAGAUGGGCCGGCGGCGCAUUAGCUAGUUGGCGAGGUAACGGCUCACCAAGGCCACGAUGCGUAGCCGACCUGAGAGGGUGAUCGGCCACACUGGGACUGAGACACGGCCCAGACUCCUACGGGAGGCAGCAGUAGGGAAUCUUCCGCAAUGGACGAAAGUCUGACGGAGCAACGCCGCGUGAGUGAUGAAGGUUUUCGGAUCGUAAAACUCUGUUGUUAGGGAAGAACAAGUACCAGAGUAACUGCUGGUACCUUGACGGUACCUAACCAGAAAGCCACGGCUAACUACGUGCCAGCCGCCGCCGUAA